rnacentral:tRNA from 1 species
GGGGUUGAGGCUCAGCGGUAGAGCGCUCGCCUAGGACGUGAGAGGGCCCUGGGUUCGAAUCCUCAGCACCA